CUCAACCUGUGAGCGUCGCAGCAUUUAGCUCGCGAUACGAGUGUGUGAGGGUCUCAGACACUAACAAACUUGUCAUUUCUCCGUUUCUUUUAGUGAACAAAACAUUCAGGAAGCAGCUUUUCUCUUGUUGAGUCUGUACCGACCGCCAUGUGUCAGCGGCAAUCCACAGAUACUGGGAGUCAGCUAGCAGGUGGAGCUGGGAGGUUUGGGCCCUUCUGGGAGUCUCUCUCUCUCUCUCUCUCUCUCUCAGCCUUCUUCUUUUGUUUGGUUUGUUGCACCAUCCAACACUCUUUACACCACAUUUUCACUCAUCCAUGCAUUACUAACACAACUGAUGUUUCUCCGACUCACACGCCCCACCGGUUAGUUGAGAUAUUAUUUCUUUGAGUUAAAUAAAUUACUUUUUGACUGAUA